rnacentral:pre_miRNA from 1 species
GGUCAUUAUGGACUUGAUCCAAAGCCCACUGAGGUCAGUUGGACUCUUUCCAUUGACUUCAGUGGGCUUUGGAUCAGGCCCUAGGUCC